GGCAUCCCCAAACUCGGCCCUCCAGAGGUUUUGGGACUACAAUUCCCAUCAUCCCUGACCACUGGUCCUGUUAGCUAGGGAUGAUGGGAGUUGUAGUCCCAAAACAUCUGGAGGGCUGAGUUUGGGGAUGCC